AUUGAACGCUGGCGGCAGGCCUAACACAUGCAAGUCGAGCGGAGCGGCGGACGGGCGAGUAAUGCCUAGGAAUCUGCCUGGUCGUGGGGGAUAACGUCCGGAAACGGGCGCUAAUACCGCAUACUCUCAGAUGAGCAUACGUCGGAUUAGCUAUUGCGGGGGGGAAAGGCCUACCAAGGCGACGAUCCGUAACUGGUCUGAGUGGAGGAUCAGGCACACUGGAACUGAGACACGGUCCAGACUCCUACGGGAGGCAGCAGUGGGGAAUAUGGGACAAUGGGGGAAAGCCUGAUGCAGCCAUGCCGCGUGUGUGAAGAAGGUCUUCGGAUUGUAAAGCACUUUAAGUUGGGAGGCGUUACCAGCAGAAUAAGCACCGGCUAACUUCGUGCCAGCAGCCGCGGUAAUAC
rnacentral:rRNA from 1 species